UACAGAGGGGGCAAGCGUUAUUCGGAAUUAUUGGGCGUAAAGGGCGCGUAGGCGGCUUUUCAAGUGACGGGUGAAAUCCCUCGGCUUAACCGAGGAACUGCCCUCCAAACUGCUUCGCUUGAGACCGGGAGAGGUGAGUGGAAUUCCCAGUGUAGCGGUGAAAUGCGUAGAUAUUGGGAGGAACACCAGUGGCGAAGGCGGCUCACUGGACCGGUACUGACGCUGAGGCGCGAAAGCCAGGGGAGCGAACGGG
rnacentral:rRNA from 1 species